rnacentral:rRNA from 1 species
GUUGUAUGGUUAAGUGACUAAGCGUAUACGGUGGAUGCCUUGGCAGUUGGAGGCGAUGAAGGACGUACUAACUUGCGAUAAGCCUAGUUGAGCCAGUAAGAGGCGCUUGAGACUAGGAUUUCCGAAUGGGGAAACCCACCUGUUUACAGGUAUCAUAUGGUGAAUACAUAGCCAUAUGAGGCGAACGCGGAGAACUGAAACAUCUAAGUACCCGUAGGAAAAGAAAUCAACCGAGAUUCCGAAAGUAGCGGCGAGCGAAAUCGGAACAGCCCUUAAGCUGUUUUGUAAUUAGUGGAAGGCUCUGGAAAGUGCCACGAUACAGGGUGAUAGUCCCGUACACAAAAAUUUAUAAGCAGUGAAAUCGAGUAGGUCGGAGCACGUGAAACUUUGACUGAAUAUAGGUGGACCAUCAUCUACGGCUAAAUACUCCCAACUGACAGAUAGUGAACCAGUCCCGUGAGG